rnacentral:rRNA from 1 species
GGACGGGAAUAACCUCGGGAAACUGAGUAUAAUGCCCGAUAGAACACUAUACCUGGAAUGGUUUGUGUUCCAAAUGAUUAUCGCCGUAGGAUGGGACUGCGGCCUAUCAGUUUGUUGGUGAGGUAAUGGCCCACCAAGACUAUUACAGGUACGGGCUCUGAGAGGAGUAGCCCGGAGAUGGGUACUGAGACACGGACCCAGGCCCUAUGGGGCGCAGCAGGCGAGAAAACUUUGCAAUGUGCGAAAGCACGACAAGGUUAAUCCGAGUGGUUUGUGCUAAACGAACCUUUUGACAGUCCUAGAAACACUGUUGAAUAAGGGGUGGGCAAGUUCUGGUGUCAGCCGCCGCGGUAAAACCAGCACCUCAAGUGGUCAGGAUGAUUAUUGGGCCUAAAGCAUCCGUAGCCGGCUCUGUAAGUUUUCGGUUAAAUCUGUACGCUCAACGUACAGGCUGCCGGGAAUACUGCAGAGCUAGGGAGUGGGAGAGGUAGACGGUACUCGGUAGGAAGGGGUAAAAUCCUUUGAUCUAUUGAUGACCACCUGUGGCGAAGGCGGUCUACCAGAACACGUCCGACGGUGAGGGAUGAAAGCUGGGGGAGCAAACCGGAUUAGAUACCCGGGUAGUCCCAGCUGUAAACUAUGCAAACUCAGUGAUGCAUUGGCUUGUGGCCAAUGCAGUGCUGCAGGGAAGCCGUUAAGUUUGCCGCCUGGGAAGUACGUACGCAAGUAUGAAACUUAAAGGAAUUGGCGGGGGAGCACCACAAGGGGUGAAGCCUGCGGUUC